UUUUUCCUAGGUCUCCCGCGUCCUGGUGACGAGUCCUAAGUCACCUACAAUCAUGUCAUAAUAAUAAUAUGUUAUUUCCUUUUUUUACCUGAAAUUUAGCCCAAGCCUAAUUCCUCUGUAUUGGGGUCUUGGCUGGGCUCAUAAGUCUUAAUUGGCCCUCCGAUUGGCCACUAAGCUUAAUUCCCAGCUCAAUUGGGUUUAAUUUCGGGUUUAGGGUCACUGUGACCCGUUUGGGCCUGAGUCAGGGUCGAUCCGGGAUCAAUUUGGCCCC
rnacentral:lncRNA from 1 species